GGUCACAUAGGAGUUACAAAAGUCUAGGGUUACAAAGUCAGUUCUUGUGACUCCAGCUCUUCCUUUUUGGUCAUUAAGGGCUGAGCAGAGAAAAGUGCCUGGAAAUGUUUCUUGGAUGAGGAUCUAAUAGCCAUAGCAUGGGAUCAUGGCCUUGAAAUCUGGAUAUGAUCCAGAAGGUUGCAGGGGAUUUGAGCAUUUGGGGAAACCCACUUGUCAACCAUGGGAGCCCCACCCUGACAUGGUGAUGGUGAGAGAGGCCCAAGGAUCUGUCCUGUCAAGGGACUGGUGGCAGUGCUGGUCGGAGGCUGUGGGGCAGCUUUGGGAGCACAAUGUCAAGGCUCAUCCCGGUUGGCAAGGUCCUUCUUGCUGUGCCCACCAAUACCUUCUUCCUGACCUCUCCCCAGGGAGUGAAUGGCUGGUGUGGCCGCUCUCCGGGUACAUUAGGGUCCGGGGCCCCCAUGAUCAGACAUCACAAAGGCCAGGUCUUGUGGCAGCAGGACCUGUGGAUGAAGUCAAGCAGGACCCCUCAUUGGGGACCAGUAGGCGAGCUGUAACCAGGCUGGCAGCCAGCGUCCCUCCCCCUGGGUGGCCCAGAACUGCCUACAACAGAGCCCUCCAAGCCAGAGUCAAGUUCACAGCUCCGGGUCUAGUUCACAGUGGCUUUCAUGUGUGGCCCCUCACGUUAUCCCCGUCACAGCCACAAUGCGUGAAGCCGGUACUACUGGGAUGGCCCCAGUCUUACAGAUGAGCCACUAAGUGACGUCAACCCGGAAACGAGGUGUGGCACAGAUGGGUACUUAAGGACAAGCGAUGGGAGCAGAGAACUUGACGUAGACUCUGCAGGGGGUCUCCGGGAAGCCAUGAGGUCUUCUUCAAAGGGUCCCCCCCGCCCACUUCCAGGUCUUCGGGCAGCAGGACUCGAGUGUUUCCAACCUUUCAUCUGGUAGCCAGAUCCUCUAGCCGUGUGGGGUCCACCCUUCCUCCCGAACCCCGCUCCUGGCCCAGGGCAAAUUCAACUCCCCUGGUGUAGUGGGCUCGGCAUUCGGAGCCCUGGGCUGGGCAGCUAGCAUCCGGAGCCAAGAACCACAGGCUCAGCUGGAGCGCGGCGGCCUGGGAAGCGCUCACCCACGGAGGUGAUGUGGAAUCCGUCCUGCCCCCCUCGUCGGGUGUCAGAGUGAUUUAUGGGCAGAUGCUGAGAGGAGAGACUGGGGAAAAAUAAGCAGUCUCAGGUCAGAGUCCUCCCCAGUCCUCACUAGCUUCCACCCUGCCACAGAUUCGGGACGGGGGAAAGGGCCUCAGGGCUGUGUGUCCUCUAGCAGGUCCCUUGUCUCUCUGGGCCUCUGCGGCCGUUCCAGUGGGUCUGAAAACCCACCUCAAAUGACAGAAUUGCCAGAAGGAUCAAGGGAGAAGUUGCACAUCGAGCACCCAGCUCAGAGCCCGGCACCGGGCACAGCACAGGUCACCUUGCGCCUUUGCUCCUAAGCCUGUGGUGGCACCCUUGCUCCUGGCCGGCUCCUGCCCUGUAGGCGCUUCUGCCCCCUUCUGUCCCUCCAGUCCUCCAGCCCCUCCCCCAGGAGGCCCCUGCCUGCAACAGCCCCACUUAUGUUGUCGGGCCUUCUGGACAACCUAAAUAAAACAAUCCUUCCCCUCUACCCGCUGCCCCUCCUGGCCCAUAGUCUCUGUCCUCUUCAGGCUGUCGUAUUAACUUUUUCCUUAAUAUUUGUCACCACUGGACAAAAUUUAAAAAAAAAAAAAAAAAAAAGGAAAGAA